UUUAUAACAAACUGAGAAAAAGAGUUAGGGAGAAACUGCAGGAUCAAAUCCUGGCUUAGUUCACCAUCCAUGAUAAAACCCAAUUAUCCCAGAUGAGUGAUCAAAUCAAUCAUCUUUAGGAUCUGUGUUUGCAUGGAGGUACAUUCAGUCAUACAGGUACAGAACAACUACUUCGAUAUCUCAUAUCGAGCAGUUCGACUUUGUUCCCCAUAUAACUCCUUAAGAUUAAGAAAAAUAGAGGGAACAUCCAUGUCCUCAUGCUGCCUCUGGAGCUCGUUGCUCAUGGAGGCAAGCAUGAUGCAUUUGACAGUCACACUGUUAUCUUUCCACAUUUUAUAUGCAGCCCUAUCCUUCUCGGAAGUAUCUUCUCCAAAAGAAUUUGGAGUAGGUGCAUCCAAAAUGUAGGAGACUUUCUUCUGAGUGAGAAUAAUUUUCAAGUUUCUUAAUCAGUCGACAUAGUUAGGUCCAGUCAACUUGUUUGCAUCUAGGAUACCUUUAAGUAAAAGUGAGGAUGCCAUGUGUGUAGUUAAUCUACAACAUCAAGAAUAUAAUAUAAGCGAAUGACUCAUGAUGACAUUCACAACUAGACUAGGACUUUUAUUUAAUUGCAUCUCCCACUAUUUUGUCAAACUUCAUACCCCUCAAAUAUGAAAAUUGAGAAACAUACUAAUGUUUCUUAAUGGGGUUGAGAUCCCUAUUCCUCACAAAUACCUUGUGAAUAGCACAACAAGUAUUCAUAAGUUCAAGAGUAGGUAACUCUUUACCAAUUGUACCUCUAUAAUUCUUAACAUCUUUUAUU
rnacentral:lncRNA from 1 species